UGCCAGAGCGCUCGAGAGUUGUUUAGUAUUUAGUAGAGUUAGUAGAGUUUAGACUGCGAGUAUUACGCGAAAAUGUGAAGUUCGGAAGUUUUGUGAAUAUUUUUUCCUGUGAGGACAUCAAUCAUUUUUUUGUUGAUAGUCGGAGGUUUCGAAGGAGAAAUUGCUCUCCCCACCGAAUUGUCUACACUCACACAUGCGUCGCACGCCGAGUUGCCACACAUGCGCACACACACGUCGAGUCCCCCCACCACGACACCGGUGUGCCCUCCACCACCACCACCACCGCCGCGCUGCCCUCACGGCGUCUUGUCGGCGGGCGCGCAAGUGCCCAAGCGCACCGCGCUCUCUUCAAGACACCGCGCGUCGGAGUCGGAGUUCCUCCGCUCGCGGUUUAGUGCUUGGCGCGCUCUCGAAGACACCGCUAGCAAUCGCCCGAGCAACACCGGCGUGUGUCUUCCAUCGGCGCACGGGGACUUGGAAGAAAUAUAACGCACCUGACUUCAUCGGCACGCCAGUCGGCGCGCGGCACUUUGAUGACAUCAAAGCGACGACGACUGCGUUCGGACUUCAACUUCCAGCCUCUCUCUUCGCGAGCUCUACGACUUCAAAGCGCAACGUGCGGCGAAUAAAAUUUUUUUGCAUCGCGACGCAACGCACAACAACUACGCGGAGCAAAAAGUGAAAAGAUAAAUUACAGUGAAGUGAGAUUUAACUUCAUGACUUGGUGAUUAAAGCAAAGUUUUAAAAUUAAACCAAGCAAACUUAAACGUUCACAACGCAUGCAGCAAGAAAAAGUUCACCAUCGGCGGCAGUUCUUCGUUGUUGUUUUUUUCACGAGGGCGUUCAGCGUAAGUGAUUUUUAAUUCUACAUUUUUAUUGCGAUUAUUGCGCCAUGAAAACCAACACGGUAUUAAAAGGUUUUAUUGCGGCUAUUUUUGACUUUUGAGCUUUCGACAACUUUAUGAUGCAGUGUAACACUACACUUUUACAAUGCGACUGUACUUACCUAUUAUUGGGGGUAUAAAGAACGAAAUCAAAUAAAGGAAGCAAAAAAAAAGCGCCACACGAAUUCACCGGCACAAUAGCGGUGCUAUUAUCCGGGCCGUCGGCAACUUAAAACCGCAACACUCACAAAGUGAGCCAAAUAAAAAUCAAAAGCUUCCAAGUGUGGUGCUACUAUCAAAAAAGGAAGUUGUGAAAACAAAAAAAAUUCUACAAGUGCACAAAUUGCGAAAACCACAAAUUCCGAAAAUUCUACUCACUUGAGCUAAUAAUAGCCCUAUUAUUAUCGACAAUCAACACGAUUAAUAAUAAUUGUUCUCGUCGUCAACCGCCGCGCCUGGAGAUGUCUCCUCUUGAAAUAGUUUUUUUUUGUUCGUUUUGCGCCGUCUGGUCUGGCAACACCACGACGCUCUGUACACAAAUGUGAACUUGAAUUAUGUACACAUACACAUACGAUACGCUGACAAUUGCGAUCGUCGACAUGUCGUCUGGCUGAUAAACGCCGACGACGACUUUCGCGCGUGCGUUCGUCAUGUGAUAAUCAAUUUCUGUUUGUUUCACAGUCAUUAAACCGAAGUUAUUAAUUUCUGGAUAAGCGCAAGUUGUUUUAUGAAGUCUAAAGUUGUUCUGUGAGUUGUAAGUGAGUAAAUUUCAAGGCCAGCAAAGGCCAGAAGCCGGUCUCGCGAUAAUUAUUUAUUUGACUUGCGCGUUCAAUUUCCAGCAAUUCAAUAUUUGCUCACACAAGCCAAGCCAAGCAAAACUCGUCGCUUGUUAUUUCCAUUUCAAUUUCAAUUUCUCAUUGCGUUUCUAUUGUUAACGAAAAACGACUGCUGUUUUUUUUUUCCUCUGCUUGCUGUGUAGUAGGUAUUGUGCGUGCAUUAUGAAAAAUAAUGCGCACGCAUGCAUCCGCAUAUCCGUCGCGCACGCUUCCGAAAAACGUUAAUGAUAUGCAAAAGCGCUACCGUGGGCAACUCGGCACGCAUAACAAUGCCGUGUGCAUGACACAAAAAAAGGGGUGAAACGUCGAGGCAGACAGAAUGUAGUGUGUAGUGUACACAACGCAUUCACACACAACGUCUGAAAAACUGAAUCAUCGAAAGGGUUGAAACACAAAAUUCCAUUUCACAUCGGCAAUGCAUUAGCUCCGGAGAGAAAGGGUCACGCUUUUAAAAGGUCGCGCUAUCAAUACCCAAGGUAAAAGGUAGAAUCAUUACCUGGAUUACGCCGAUUACGGGAAUAUGCUGGCUGUACCUGAAUGAGCCCGUGAUUUAUGCUUUAAAUAUUCAAAUUCACAUUCGGCAACACAUUUGAAUAUGAACAGUGCCCGGCUAUAAUUUUUCAUCGGCAUUUUGCUGUUGCAUAUUUUAUCAGCGGCUUCAAAAAAACUAUUAUACGCGUCGCGCAUGAAAGACGCCAAUGAAAAGAGGACUCUCCACUAAAAGAGUUUCAAAGUUAUCCUAACGAUGGCGACGCAGAAAUUGUGUAAAAUGUAAAAUGUAAUUUAAACCGGUCUUAAGUUUGAAGUUAAAAGUUUAAACUUUGCGCUCCAAGUGCUAGACACCUCUCUUAUCUUUCCAUUUCCAUUUUACGGGGUUUUUAUUACCAUCACCGGAGAUAAUGUUACGUUUAUAAACGUGUCUGCGCGCAGAUAGAAGAAAAAAUCGCCAGAUAAUGUGACAAUGUGACAGGUGAACUUUGCCGGUCUGCAAUUAAUUCAAUUUUAAUUAGUUUUCAUUAAAUUUAAUUGUCGCAUUAUUUUCAGCGUAUGUGUGUGCGUAAUUACGAAAAUUACUAAAUGACUCGCUAGCGUCGCGAACAAAUAAGCUAGUUAGAAUAAUAAAAUAAAACUCUCCGAGUGUGUGAUGUGCCAACAGUCAAGUCAAGUCAUGAAAAUAUUUGUCCUGCGAAGAGACGACGUGAAUGUGUUUUUUUUUUCACCUCUUUGAAUGCGAGAUGCGCGCCGGCAUUGAAAACGUUGAAAAAAGAA